AGAACUUCUUUACUAUGCAGGUGACCACGCACUGUAACAGAUUGCCCAGAGAAGUUGUGGAGUCUUCCUCACUGGAGAUAUUCAAGAACCAUCCUGAUGGAAUUCUGUGCAACAUGCUUGAGGAUGACUCUACUUGAAUAAGGAGGUUGGACCAGGUGACCCACUGUGGUCCCUUCCAACCUUACCCAUUCUGGAGUCUGUGACACUAAGAGCCCCUUCUCUAGCUGUAUAAAGGUAUUUAAAGAAGCGUGAAAUAACCAGGACUUCCAUUAUAGGUGCUUUAAAGCCACUUGAAAAUGAGGAAAGACAAUCUAUACACAGGUUAACUCAGUUCAAAAAUUCUUUCAAUUAAACCUUUGUGUAUUUACUGCCAAGGGAUCUCACCAAAACUUUCAGAACUGUGUUCUUACCUUUUGCUAUUAUCCUACUCUGCAGUAAUGUGGAAUCCUAAAGAGGUAUCCUGAAGGGAUAUUCUGGGAUUACAAUACUUACAGUUUUCUGAAUUUUCCCAAAUUUUGAGAUUCCUUUGUCUGAAACUAUUGCUGGAUAUUUCAGAGGGAGUUCCAAAACAAAAGGAGGAGGAUGUCCAUGAACAACACCAGAAUGGGAUAUAAAGCUACAACUGCAAACCAGAAUUUGGUACUUGAGAAAGGAAUGAGUGAAAUAUAAUACAGCAGACUAAAGCAGUGAGGAAUGUGUUUCUGGACACAAAUCUGUGAUGCACCGAUGUUUUUCCUGAACAAACACACAAAAGCACGUCAGCAGUGAUUUUUCAUUUCCUCGAUCUGUGAUGAGAUAAAUCCUCCUCUGUGAGCCUGUGGAGUAACACAUUGGAAAUGGAUUUACUCGUAACUUGAGUUCAACAGCUCCUGCUAAACCCGUAAGAAAACCAGAAUAAUGCUUCUGAAAGUGAAAUUAAUCCAAAUUAUUCAGAACUAUGUUAUUUUUUAAAAUUUCCUUUUACCUAUAUGUGGGGAGAAAUAAAAAAGAAAGCUAUAACAUCAAGGGGAGACGACUCUGGAAAAACAAGGCUGCAGCAAACUUACCUUUCAUUAGGGACUCCCCAAGUUUAAUGGG